UACGUAGGGUGCAAGCGUUGUCCGGAAUUAUUGGGCGUAAAGAGCUCGUAGGCGGUCUGUCGCGUCUGCUGUGAAAUCCCGGGGCUCAACCCCGGGCUUGCAGUGGAUACGGGCAGACUAGAGUUCGGUAGGGGAGACUGGAAUUCCUGGUGUAGCGGUGAAAUGCGCAGAUAUCAGGAGGAACACCGGUGGCGAAGGCGGGUCUCUGGGCCGUAACUGACGCUGAGGAGCGAAAGCAUGGGGAGCGAACAGG
rnacentral:rRNA from 1 species